UACGGAUGAUGCAAGCGUUAUCCGGAAUGAUUGGGCGUAAAGCGUCCGCAGGUGGCAGUUCAAGUCUGCUGUCAAAGACCGGGGCUCAACCUCGGAAAGGCAGUGGAAACUGAACAGCUAGAGUAUGGUAGGGGCAAAGGGAAUUCCUGGUGUAGCGGUGAAAUGCGUAGAGAUCAGGAAGAACAUCGGGGGCGAAGGCGCUUUGCUGGACCAUAACUGACACUCAGGGACGAAAGCGUGGGGAGCAAACAGG
rnacentral:rRNA from 1 species